AUACGGAGGGUGCAAGCGUUAAUCGGAAUUACUGGGCGUAAAGCGCGCGUAGGCGGUUGGACAAGUUGGAUGUGAAAGCCCCGGGCUCAACCUGGGAAUGGCAUCCAAAACUGUCCGACUAGAGUUCGGUAGAGGGGAGUGGAAUUCCACAUGUAGCGGUGAAAUGCGUAGAUAUGUGGAGGAACACCAGUGGCGAAGGCGGCUCCCUGGAUCGAAACUGACGCUGAGGUGCGAAAGCGUGGGUAGCAAACAGGAUUAGAUACCCCGGUAGUCC
rnacentral:rRNA from 1 species